rnacentral:rRNA from 1 species
UACGAAGGGGGCGAGCGUUGUUCGGAUUUACUGGGCGUAAAGGGCGCGCAGGCGGCGGAUCAAGUCAGGCGUGAAAGCCCCGGGCUCAACCUGGGAGGUGCGUCUGGGACUGAUUUGCUAGAGAUCGGGAGAGGAGAGUGGAACUCCGAGUGUAGAGGUGAAAUUCGUAGAUAUUCGGAAGAACACCAGUGGCGAAGGCGGCUCACUGGCCCGGUACUGACGCUGAGGUGCGAAAGCGUGGGGAGCAAACAGG